rnacentral:rRNA from 1 species
CACAAGCAGCGGAGCGUGUGGUUUAAUUCGAUGUUACACGAAGAACCUUACCAGGGUUUGACAUGCAAGUGGUAGGAAUCCGAAAGGUGACCGACCCUCGGGGAGCUUGCACAGGUGCUGCAUGGCUGUCGUCAGCUCGUGUCGUGAGAUGUUGGGUUAAGUCCCGCAACGAGCGCAACCCUUAUCCCUAGUUGCCAUCAGGUAAAGCUGGGAACUCUGGGGAGACUGCCGGUGAUAAACCGGAGGAAGGCGGGGAUGACGUCAAGUCCUCAUGGCCCUUACAUCCCGGGCUACACACGUGCUACAAUGGCAGGUACAGAGGGCUGCGAAGCCGCGAGGUGGAGCGAAUCCCAGAAAACCUGUCUCAGUCCGGAUUGAAGUCUGCAACUCGACUUCAUGAAGGCGGAAUCGCUAGUAACCGCGAAUCAGCAGGUCGCGGUGAAUACGUUCCCGGGCCUU